rnacentral:rRNA from 1 species
UACGGGGGGGGCAAGCGUUGUUCGGAAUUACUGGGCGUAAAGGGCGCGUAGGCGGUUAUAUGUGUGGGAUGUGAAAGCCCUGGGCUUAACCUGGGAAGUGCAUACCAAACUGUAUAACUGGAGUAUAUGAGAGGGUAGCGGAAUUUCCGGUGUAGCGGUGAAAUGCGUAGAGAUCGGAAGGAACGCCGAUGGCGAAGGCAGCUACCUGGCAUAAUACUGACGCUGAGGCGCGAAAGCGUGGGGAGCAAACAGG